AUUGAACGCUGGCGGAAUGCUUUACACAUGCAAGUCGAACGGCAGCACGGACUUCGGUCUGGUGGCGAGUGGCGAACGGGUGAGUAAUGUAUCGGAACGUGCCCAGUCGUGGGGGAUAACGUAGUGAAAAUUACGCUAAUACUGCAUACGAUCUAUGGAUGAAAGCGGGGGAUCGCAAGACCUCGCGCGAUUGGAGCGGCCGAUAUCAGAUUAGGUAGUUGGUGGGGUAAAGGCCCACCAAGCCAACGAUCUGUAGCUGGUCUGAGAGGACGACCAGCCACACUGGAACUGAGACACGGUCCAGACUCCUACGGGAGGCAGCAGUGGGGAAUUUUGGACAAUGGGCGAAAGCCUGAUCCAGCCAUUCCGCGUGCAGGAUGAAGGCCCUCGGGUUGUAAACUGCUUUUGUACAGAACGAAAAGGUUUCUACUAAUACUAGGAGCUCAUGACGGUACUGUAAGAAUAAGCACCGGCUAACCACGUGCCAGCCGCCGCAGUAA
rnacentral:rRNA from 1 species